GGACUGCCGGUGUCAAACCGGAGGAAGGUGGGGACGACGUCAAGUCAUCAUGGCCCUUAUGCCCAGGGCGACACACGUGCUACAAUGGCCGGUACAGCGCGCCGCGAACCCGCGAGGGUAAGCCAAUCGCUAAAAGCCGGUCUAAGUUCGGAUUGUAGUCUGCAACUCGACUGCAUGAAGCCGGAAUCGCUAGUAAUCGCGGAUCAGCCAUGCCGCGGUGAAUACGUUCCCGGGCCUUGUACACACCGCCCGUCACGCCAUGGAAGCUGGGGGGACCCGAAGCCGGUGGGCUAACCGCAAGGAGGCAGCCGUCGAAGGUCAACUCAGUGACUGGGGCGAAGUCGUAACAAGGUAGCCGUAGGGGAACCUGCGGCUGGAUCACCUCCUUUCUGGA
rnacentral:rRNA from 1 species